GACCCCGGGCCCGCUCGCCCCGCCUCAGCCGCCGGCUCCCGUCUGCUACGUGAGGAGGGCGAUGGCGGCGGCGGCUGCUCCCGCUCCUGCUCCCGAGGGGGGCGGCAGGGCUUCCCUCCCGCUCCGCUACACCGCCUCUAGGAGGAGUCACCGGCCUGCUGCAAGCCCCCUGCGGCUGCCGCCCUCCUUGCCCGGGGGGGAAGGGGCCGGCGGCGGCGGGGAGCCCCCAGCCGAGCCCCCCCCAUGGAGGUUGUUCCCGUUUUCUGCAGCAGCAGCCAGGUGUCCCAGCAGCCGUCGUGUCCCCGCACAAGUCGCCACGCCACCGGCAGCAGAGCAGGACUGCAGUCUCCUCGUGGUUCUUUCUCCCCACUUCCCCCCUCUCCUCCCAAUAAGUGGAAAUCCUGAAUCACGGAUUCCUUAACCACCACUUCAACUGGGGCCUUCCCACUGGCACGCCGGUGGUGGCGGGAGCGACCGGUGUUGUGCGUCGCAGGAGGAGAUGGCAGUCAAUGGACGGUGACUGAGGCAACACAGAGCAGCGCCAGACUGUGCUAACCACACCGAAACGCUUAAACGUGGAACUACGGAGGGAGGUAAGCAUCGCAGCUCCUUGGCUACAGAGCCAAGCUAGCGCAGCUGCAGCCUCCAUACACGAGUCUACUGAAAGCUCUCAAAGUGAAGGCAAAGCAAGAAUCGAAGCAGUUUUACAAUUCUCAUUCCUGCUGCAUUCUCCUCAUGCUGGCAGCAGCUGUGAAUCAUAGCACCAAGGGGAAAGGACUGAUCCUGGCAAUAGCAGUGUGAGGAAGGCAGGGCAGGAGAGGUGAGGAAGGAGCUGCCACAUGCAUCUCGAGGGCAUGCAGCUACUUGGAGGUAUCGGGAAAGAACAACCAAGGCAAAAAAGCAAACCACCAUGCAGGAAAGGGAAGGUACGCCAUACCAAUGGGCACGGGGCAUCCAGCCCGUCCAGCCCAGGUAACCCCGGCUCACCCUUCUCGCCUUUAAAACCUCGGAGACCCUGUUCAUGAGAUCAACCACUGUCGUUAUUUCAGAUAAUGCCAGGCACCUCCGUGGCACAGGAGGAGAGGCUCAGACCCGCGCUGGGACUGUCGCAGGGCACUCUGCUGCCUGCCCAGAGGGCACACCUCCCCGGUGGUACUUUGUCCGUGUAAUCAGCAGGAGCAGGUGCCUGCUCCAUGAGUCAGGGCACACGUCUCCAGCUGAGCUCAGCCUGAGGAUGGCAGUGAUGUUUCAUCUGCUUUGAAGUCCUCCAUUUUUCCCAUUUCCCAGCAGAUGAGUUUCUAGAAGCACGAUGCACGAGUAAUGCUGGGAUUUAUGGCAAUACUACCGAUUUCUGGCAGCGUAUUCACUGCAGUGUGAGCUGAGAUGAAAUGUGCAGCUAUUCAUACAUUGAUUCACCCAGACUGACAGACGGCACAUUCUGCCAGAAACGUGUCCCGCUCAGAACCACCGAGAUGUGCUUCCCUCUGGGCAGUGCAGCUCGAGUGCCCCGUGUCACUCCCAGGCACUCACGGCGGCCAACCCUUAUUGCAGGCCAACAAACAGCUCUGCUGUCACGCAGACGUGAUGACACCGAACAUUUCCUGAGAGCAGUGAAGGAGGCUCAGGGCUCUGUCCGCACAGGAGAAAGCCCUGGGCUCCCAGCACGUGGCACGUAGCCACGAACCCCAAGGCUGUGUGAGCUCCGGAGGAGGAAGGAACGUAACCAUGGCCACUCAACGGAUCGGCUGCUCCCCACUGAAGGCUGCAAGUGGGAGCCAGACCGGCCUCAUCUUAGCGUUAUGCUUUUGCAAGGCCAUUAUUUCUGUUACGAUUUCCUUCUUCCUUCCCCACCGCAAAUCUUAGAACAGUACAUUUGAUUAAACAGAACAUACCAACGGACAGGGUGCAUCUAAUCCAGGCGCUCCUUGGUCUCCCUUAUCCCCUUUAGACCCUCUAGAGCCUUUCUUGCCCCUCUCCCCCUGUAAAUAACAGUUUGGUCCAAAAAGAAAAAAAAAAAGAAUACACAAAAGCUUUAGGAUCAUCCAUUUCAAACAAAUGUCAGCAAUAGUUUAAAAAAUGAUAAACAUUGAGGAAACAUUUUAAAAGAAGUGAAACCUCCCUUUGGGAUGUUAAGUGAGCCACAGAAGGGACCAAGGGAAGGCACAGGUGCUCUGUGACAAUAUCCUAUGAGAGCAGGGCAGCCAAGGCCGGGUGUAACAAUGGGAUUUGUCAGAGGAAAUUCUCAAAGCUGCUGAGCAUAAAACAGGGAAAGGGGCAGCUGCACAGGGAAGUGAAUUUAGGGUCCUCGUGGGAAGGGUUAAAGGAAUUAGGGGAUAACAUCAGACAGCGCAGGCUGCUGGUUCUUCUUUAAAAUGUGUUAAACCCAAAGCUGGCAAGAGAAAUGGAUGGGAGAGGAGAAGCAACGAGGCAAAAUCACCCAGAACCAAGCACUGGAACAGAGAGGAUAAUCCAGGAAAAUGCAGCGUGGGUUGCUCUGGAGGGAGCAGGAAGGAACCAGGAAGAAAGGCGGAAGAGGAGGAAGGGAUAAAGGGGACAAAGGUGGACCUGUAGGAGCGAGGAAGACACACGUACACACAUGAGAAAAAAUACAGGCAUUAGAACAACAGCAGAGAUAUCAUCUUGGCAGCAAAAGAUCAGGGUUUGCACUUUUUCAGCUGGGCAUCCCAAAAGGCUGUGCCUGUUCCCAUCGGGACCUACUGGCACCCCAGGCACAGCUGUGCUGCGCCCCACGCUGGGCAGCAGGAGGGCUCCUGCUACUGCAAAACCACUGCUCUGCCUAAAGGAACGGGGAGGGUUCGCUGAGGAGCUUGGCAAACUGUCUGGAAGCUUAACAAAAUUGAUGCACUCCUUUAAGUAGUGGUGACCUAGUCACCAUUUCUGGAGCGGAGCAGGAGUGAGGAGAAGCCCUGGUACGAAUAUAUGGUGGGAAAAGAGGCAUUUUCUAGGAUCCCACCUGAAAAGGCAUUGCAGUUGCCCAUUUACAGGCUCGGCUUCCUCACGUUUUCAUUUCAAAAUGUUGGUUGCAGUGAGGCAAAACAUGCUUCGAGGGGCCAGCGAGUCUUCCCACUCGUGCUGCUUUCCAACCCAUCCUCUACAAGGAGGUGUUUCCAGUUUUCAUUUGCUUUUAUGAGAGCUUAGGGAAAUCCUACUGGCACACUGCAGCCAGUGAAAAACCCUUCUUUUAAGUAAUACUCCUAGUUUAAAAGCCAACUGAAGAAGUCUAGGAAUUGUUAUUUUCUGUUUAGAAGCCACACAAACAAAAACACAACACAUCUCGCUAAGGAGGAAGUUAAGAAGCAAAGCCAGAAAUGGAAUGAUUAAAAAAGGGGAGGACUUUGGAGCUCCCAGGAAAUUUGGACCUUUCUGCCCUGGUUUAAGAUGCCAAUUGGCUACUGCACUCCAAAACUGCUUGUUCUGUGCAGAGCAAGGUCAGAAAUACAUUGCAGAUAAAAACAGAGAACACUCAUUAUGUAUAAAAAGCAAAAUCAUAUAAUGAAAUCACUGCACAGGCACAUGCACUAUAAAUAUUUACAUUUUCAGAAAGAUUUAGGUCAUACCAGGGUCUUAUCAAGAGAAUGUGUGAGCACAUGCGUAAGACAUACACGUUUGCUUUAUUAAAGCUGUUUGACAUAUUUACACAACUGUAGUCUUAAAACCAUAAUCCAGAAGCCAUUUAUAUUUCUAACUAUAAAUUAUAUUCAACUGUUAGUAUUUUAACUGUUUUGAAUCGACAGGAUUCAGACUUAGCAAGCAAGAAGUUCCUUAUGUUGUUGAAAAUCCAAUGAUUGGAAUGCCAAUGAAAGGCAAGGAGUGUUCAGUGCACACUUUAUACUAAUAUCUAUCUUUUUAUAACAUAGGUGGUGUGACAGAAGAGCAGCCAUUCACAUUACGUGUUUAGAUCCAGCUCUUUAGCACAUUCAGUCAGGACAAAGCCUGAGGAGGCUUCAUGUCUGACUCUUUAAAGUAUGCAAAUUUAAUUUAUCUUCUCCAAAUUUCCAUCUUCCAAAUUCUCUGGAGAACCCUUAGCUAGAGGUCAACUUUUUUCAUGCUUCAGGGGGAAUUUGAAAGUAACGUGAUAAGAUCUGCCAACUGCAUCUCAGUUAAUUCUCAUGGGAAUCCCUGGACACACUACCAAGCAGAUAAGCAGGAUUUCCUAAAGCACGCCUUGUUGACCUAACUCCAUAAGUUAUGACCUAAGCCAUACUUCAGUGAGAACAGAGCUAUGACAACAAAGAACACGUUAGAAAAUCCCUCCUGUAUCUUUCAGAGGGACAUGCUGUGAUGUCCUAGAUGAUGACACAAACUACGGGUAUCACCUUCAGAAAUACAGGUUUGUGAAUCAUUCACGCAACAGGCUAGCAAACAGAAUCUCAUGCUAGCUGUCUCUCAGUGGCUCAGGCAGCAACCAGUCCACCACUGUGCAAAGACCAAGACUUGCUUGGUAACUUACCCGGAUUCCUUUGUCACCAGGCAGACCUUGUAAACCCUGAAACACAUCAACGCAAAAAUAGAAAUAUUUCACAAACGGACAGGUCCCACUGUAUACCUCCUCAAAACGAACAUGUGCCCAAGAGUUUGUUUCCAUUGCUAUCCAUUACUGUGUGGUAAAAAUUAACAUUUCCUGUAGACAACCUUCUCCUCACCUCCACGAGACCAUCCAGGCUAACACAGCACUGCUUUUACUUUAAGAAUUUUUCACAUAGAAACCAGACUUGCUGAAAGAACUCAGUUUCUGAAGAGGAAAACAAAAGUACACAACAGCAACCUUCCUUUGUGUUUUUUUUUCCUCUUUUUUUUUUAUUUUCUUUUUUUUUCCUCUUAAAAAAACAAUGAAGCAGUUCCCUGAUUACCUGAAACCAAAGGUCAAGCACUUACUGCAUUUUGCAAAAGUAACCCCAAACAGUGGAACUAACCUCACUCAAGGCAACUUUUGUCACUGUGAUGAAACCGCAGAUACCCAAUGUGGAAAGGUACACCAUGCUCAAAAGCAGUAUUUUGGAGUAAGAUACAGCUCCUGCAAGUCCCGCACAGCUUCAUUUGGUACUUUGAGGGCAACAGAGAAUUUAGAGUUCCCUUCAGCUUCACUUAUCUCAUUCUGAAUAACUGCUCUGAAACUACCCAGCUCUUCCUGUUGCUCCCAUGGGGUAUUUGAGCUCAUAAUUUUGGUUCUUUAACACCUAACCUAGCUGAAAUUAGAAAUAUUACAUUACAGCAGCACCUUAAACUAUCAGCCACAGCAAGGAAAUAGGGGCUUGUAGAUAACACAGUCCUACUGCUCUCACACUUACGGGAAGUCCUGCUGGUCCCAUUGGUCCUACAACACCAGGAUCUCCUUUACUGCCCUGAAAUAGAGACAAAAAGAGUAGAAAUUGUUAACGCUCCUAUUUGGUACGAACAGGCAGCACAACAAUGACUACAGAAACACUAUAGAAGAAACAGGUUACGAUUUAAAGUACCUAAAACCCCAAGAAUAAAAUGCUUAGAAAUCAGAGACCAAGUUGAGGGUCCUACAUGCACAAAGACAGAAGUUUCAGCUGCUAGAAAGACCUAGAGCUUCUCCAUUUUAAGGAACUGUUGUGUCUGCAGAGAAGUUACAGAGCAUUGGUCAGUUUUGAACCAAACUCACCCUUUCUCCUUUUGGUCCUGCUGGUCCCGAAACCCCCAUUGGUCCUGGAGUACCCUGUAGUUGGAGGAAGGGAAACACAUCAGGCCUUUUUCAUUCCAGGGCUUCGUUAAAGCCAGGAGCCACUGCUGCUCCUUUAGGAAGAAGCACAGCUGGGAAGGACAGUGCAGUGGCUGAAGGCAUCGAGCGCCACUACAGCUUUCAGCGGUGGUGGUGGUGGGUUUGAAGAUGUUACAUGCAGCCUGACAAACAGGGGGACUGCUGCACUCAGUCACACCAGCACCAUCUUACAGAGCCUUGUUUUCUGUUUCAAUCUGUACAGGGGGCAUUUCUACUAGCACCACGAGGGAAUAUUUUUCUCUCCAGUUUGUCACAGACAAUACUGAAAGCUGUAGCAGAAUAAAGGCCAUUUAUUUCGACA